AUAUCAUCCUAGCAUUCAAUUAGCAAUCGUGCGUUAUAAAAACUUAAAAUAUUCUCGUACCCGACUACUAGCACAGCAGUAAUUUCCACUUGGACUCCAGGUUGCAUAAAUAUUCUCAUAGUUGCUUUCUAUUUCAGCGAUAGGUUUGGCGCCUGAAUAAAUAGUUAACAAACAGUCAAAGACUUCAUUGCAUACUUCUAAAGUCCCAGAAACGGAUCAUUUUCCCAGCAUACACAGCCAUUAACCGAUCAGAAUGCGUAGGAUCCCAUACUAGUUGUUCGACAAGACCAUAUCCUCUGUUCCCUAAUUCAGUAGUAAAUUUAAAAUCCAAACGAUCUGAAUUCCAAACAAGUACUGAUCCUGAAGAUGAAGAACUCGCAAGUCUCGAGCCGGAAAGAUUCCAGCCUAGGGAACGUAUAGGUCCCUGUUGCCCUUGUAAAUCUCGAGUUUUCAAUUCGGGAAACUUUGGCUAAAAAGAAAAAAGAAAGUUUUAGUAUUUUAUGCUCUAGUUUUUAUAAAUCAUUAACAUACAAGCGAUUCUGUAACUGAAGCACACAUGGCAAAGAUCGCGUCGAGACGUCCAAAGGGAUAGUAGUACGUGGACAGAGUGGUUAGUGUAAACUUACUGUCUAUUUACAAUAUUAUAAAUUUGACGGUCUAAGUAUAAAAAUUAAUUAUCAUUUAGAAUACUAAAUAUUAAUAAUCUAACUCGAAGAAUUGAGCUGUUCGGUGGCCUCAUGUUCAGACGAUGAUGGUGGAGUACGAUGUUCGUGUGUGCUCACAGUGUAAAACCAAGGAUGCUGGAGAGCUUCACUUUCAGAUAUUCUUUUCUCUGGAUUAAUUUCAAGCAUCCUGUUGAUUAAAUCGAUUCCCUCUUCUGAAAUUUCGUUUUCUAAUAAAGGCUCUAUCGGAUAUGCACCUUUUGAUAUCAACUCAAUACAUUUUGCUUGUGACGAAGAUGCAAAAGGAAUAGACGCAGUAAGCCUGUGAAUUAGUAAUUGGAAAAAAUUAAGGCAUGAAGGUUCAUUGCUAAUUGAUUAAAGCCGACAAACUUACAUCACAUAUAAAACACAUCCCAAACUCCAUAUAUCAACUUUAUCAUCAUAACCUCCGUCCAAGUUGACGUUUUUUGACUUCAAAACUUCCGGUGCUAGAUAACCCAUUGUCCCGCAAAAUGUUUCUAAAAAGGUU